UUGGAGGACAGUGGUUGUCCAUCACACAAGGCGGUGACUAGAACUGGAUUCUAUUGGCUCAGACGGUCCAGACACUUGCGCAUGCGCGAAGUGGGUCUGCGUCAUCGUCGUCGUGAAUUUGGAGGUAACAGCUCAAACGAGAUUUGGAAGAACACGAACUGAAAGUCUCUUUCAACGAUGUAUCACAAAAAAUGGAGACGACAAAAUGCACAAUUACGCGCAUUGGUGGAGUCUAGUGACUCAGAUGAGAAUCCAGGUCCCUCAGAUGAGAAUCCAGGCCCCUCUUUUGCUGAUAGCCCAAAAGACAUACAGACACAGGAGCAGUCUGAUACAGGAGAAGACGAGUAUCGAGAUGAUCACCACCCGCCGGACAGUGAUGGUGAAAGUGAUUCAGAAAUUGGAACUUUGUCCGAGGAGGAAUCAAGUGAUCUAAGAAGUGAUUUGGCAAAAUGGGCUGUAAAAAAUAAGGCGUGUGUAAAAUUGUUCUGUGAAAUGUUGGUACACUUGCAGCCAUGUAAUAAAGCACUUUUCUUACGCCA